GAUGAACGCUGGCGGCGUGCCUAAUACAUGCAAGUCGAGCGAACGGACGAGAAGCUUGCUUCUCUGAUGUUAGCGGCGGACGGGUGAGUAACACGUGGAUAACCUACCUAUAAGACUGGGAUAACUUCGGGAAACCGGAGCUAAUACCGGAUAAUAUUUUGAACCGCAUGGUUCAAAAGUGAAAGACGGUCUUGCUGUCACUUAUAGAUGGAUCCGCGCUGCAUUAGCUAGUUGGUAAGGUAACGGCUUACCAAGGCAACGAUGCAUAGCCGACCUGAGAGGGUGAUCGGCCACACUGGAUCUGAGACACGGUCCAGACUCCUACGGGAGGCAGCAGUAGGGAAUCUUCCGCAAUGGGCGAAAGCCUGACGGAGCACCGCCGCGUGAGUGAUGAAGGUCUUCGGAUCGUAAAACUCUGUUAUUAGGGAAGAACAUAUGUGUAAGUAACUGUGCACAUCUUGACGGUACCUAAUCAGAAAGCCACGGCUAACUACGUG
rnacentral:rRNA from 1 species